GGUUGGCUAGUGUAAUGGUUAUCACAGCGGAUUCUGAUUCCGCUAAUCUGGGUUCGAUUCCCAGGCCGACCU